rnacentral:rRNA from 1 species
UGAGAAACCUGUCCCGGUCUCUGGAAUAACAGUCGGAAACGACUGCUAAUACCGGAUGCCGUCGGAGCGUCGCAUGGCGCGCUGACGAAAGGGCUACCGGAUCGGGAGGGUCUCGCGGCCUAUCAGCUUGUUGGUGAGGUAACGGCUUACCAAGGCAUCGACGGGUAGCUGGUCUGAGAGGAUGAUCAGCCACACUGGGACUGAGACACGGCCCAGACUCCGUAGGGAG